AUCUCCCAUAUACACAAGCGUAGAUACAUCUGAAUAAAUUACAGCAAUCAUGUGUACAUAUAUAAUCACAUUCUUUGGACGGGAAGUCUGCUGGGCAAGAAUUCAAGCAUCUCUCAUAGCAAGGAGUAGCAAGCACCAAAAUAUUGAGGCGUCGGGGAAGAGUACUCAGAGGGAGAGGAGGGAGAGAGGAGAGGAAUUGGUCUAGCCAUUUCUAAUAUAUACAGUAUAGUACUUGUAUUGAUAAGAAAACGUGUUAUACUUAUACUUCACCAUUGUUGGCCCAAAGAAGAGACUAUUGACUAUUUUUCAAACCCAGGCAACAUCUUGGUCGGCUUAAGUUUUUGACUGAAUUAAAAAAUUAGCCGGCAUUAAUCCAUUCUCAUCCCAACAUAAAGUAUAGCCGCCAGGGUAUAGUCCGUUUUUUUAUAUUUAUAGCCGGGCGGCUAUACUCUGUGGUUUGUAAAAAAUUCAAAUUUGAUAGCAUCGGCUAUACUCCGUGCUUGUUUUGGAAAAAAAUUCAAAUUUGAUUGUAUAGCCCCUCGGCUAUACUCUGUGCUUUUUAAAAAAAAUUUCAAAUUGGUAGUAUAGCCGUACGGCUAUGCUAUAUUUUUAAAAUUAAUAGUAUCGCCGAUCGGUUAUACUCUGUGAUUUUUAAAUAUUUUUUUUCAAAUUAAUAGUAUAGCCGUGCGGCUAUACUCCGUGGGGUUUUUUUUUUUUUUUUUGUUUUCUCAAAAUAAUAGUAAAGCCGGAAGGCUAUACGCUGUUUAUUUUAUAUUUAUUCAAAUUAAUAGUAUAGCCGAGCGGCUAUGCGCUGUUUUUUUAAUCUUUAUUCAUAUUAUACAUGUAAAUUUAUAGUAUAGCCAUGCGGCUAUACUUCGUGCUUUUUUAAAUAUUUUUUUCACAUUAAUAGUAUAGCCGUGCGGCGAGACCUCAUUUUUUAAUAUUUAUUCAAAUUAACAGUAUAGCACUCCGUUUUUUAAUAUUUAUUCAGAUUAAUAGUACUAGGGGUGGUUGCGGUUCGGUAACCGCGAAUUUUUAC
rnacentral:lncRNA from 1 species